UCUAAUGUGACAGAUUAAAUGUAAUGAAUUUAAGAUUCAUCAAUAAAUAUAAAUAUUUCUUUAGAA
rnacentral:tRNA from 1 species